rnacentral:lncRNA from 10 species
UACAGUGCCAAGGCAGGGGCUUCCUUGAACUUCAACCUCCAAAAGUAAGCAAGAAUUGAGAAAUAUCUUCUGCUUUGAAAAAUAUUCACUCCCCAACCCUAAUACAUCAAUUACAUAUUAUUUGGGGGCUAACUAAGCUCCUGUUUUAAAAUGUAAAUUGAAGAAAUUAGGCCAGAGUCAUUCCCAUCUUAGUGCCAAUCAUAUAAUCAGAUAAUUAGAUUGCUCUUUCCCUAAAGCCUGUUUAGUUUUCUUGUUUGCUGGUUUUGUUGUUGUUGGGUUUUUUAAUUUGUUUUUGUUGUUGUUGUUGUUGUUUUGAGAUGGAUACUCACUGUGUCACCCAGGCUAGAGUGCAGCGGCAUGAUCUCUGCUCACUGCAACCUCCAACUCCUGGGUUCAAGUGAUUCUCCUGCCUCAGCCUCCUGAGUAGCUGGGACUAUAGGUGCAUGCCACCACGCCCGUCUAAUUUUUUUGUUGUUUUGUUUUUUUUUUGUUGUUUUUUUUUGUUUGUUUUGAGACAGUCUCGCUGUUUCCCAGGCUGGAGUGCAGUGGCACGAUCUCGGCUCACUGCAACCUCCACUUCCGAGGUUCAAGCAAUUCUCCUGCCUCAGCCUCCCAAGUGGCUGGGACUACAGGUGCAUGCCAUUAUGCCUGGCUAAUUUUUUGUAUUUUUAGCAGAGAUGGGGUUUCGCCAUGUUGGCCAAACUGGCCUCAAACUUCUGGCCUCAGGUGAUCCAGCCGUCUCAGAUCAAAGUGCUGGGAUUCCAGGCAUGAGCCACCACUCACAGCUCGCUAAGGCCUUUUGCCAAGACAAAUUAGCUCUUAGAGAACCACAGGAUUCCUCUUGUAAUGUAUUACAAACUAAAGUCUUACCUGCUCUUGAAGAGUAGAAAACAUGAAAAAGUUCUGUGUUAGCCCUUAGAAUAAUUAAAAAUUCAUAAGCUCUGAAAUAAAUACAGGUAAUAAAGGUAAUAAAAUUAUUGCCUAUGACAAAACAAAAGUUUAAAUUGGCGUUUGUAAACUCUGCACGAAAGCCAGGUUUCUCACUACUAGAAAAAGAAAAAAAGUUAUAAAUAAGCCAAGAAUUCCAGAAUGAAUCCUGUGGUGCCAAAUAUAUGUUAACUACAAGGAAUAACAGUGACCUUACACUGGAAACACCUUAACCAUGGGCCAAGGUUAAAGAUAUAACAGCUUUCUCACACCCCUUGCACAGCUACCCCCAAUGUUAACAUAACUGUUAAUAAAUUAUCAAAACUAAGAAAUUAGUCUUGGUAUAGUAUCACUAACUACACUCCAGACCUCAGUCAGGUUUUCCCAGUCUUUCCGAUGUCCUGCUAUAUGGGUUUGUUUGAUGUUUUCCCAUGAUUAGGGAUAGACACUGCAAGACUCAGAGCUACUUUACAAAGAAGCCUCUAGGGAGCUCCCCAGAGAAGACAGGGGAGACAACACAGGGACACUAAAGGAAAUUUUAGCCUCUGACAUCCAUGACUAUAUAGCAAAGAGUAAACAAAGCCUAACUCCUAGCCAGAGAAAUACAAAAUCUCAUACUAAAGCCUUAUUUAACUCAGUUCCUUUCACCCAGUACAUCAUAUACAGCCUCAAACAAAGAAAUAUUGGAAGUGUCCAAGCAGGAAUUUAAAAUAACUAAGAUUAACAUGCUAGGGGCUCUAAUGUAAAAACAGCAUAACAUGCAAGAACAGAUGGGUAAUGUAAGCAAAGAGAUAAAAACACUAAGAAGAAAUAAAAAUGAAAUACUAGAAAUAAAUUUGAAGCAACAGUGACUGAAAAUUUCCCCAAAUUAAUGAUAGAUAAAGCUAUGGUCUGAAUGUUUGUGUCUCCUCAAAAGUUAUAUUGAAACUUAAUCCUCAAUAUGAUAGUACUAUCAUAUAUAAUAUUAUAUAUAUAUAUAUAUAUAUUCUGAAAAAGGCAAAACCAUAGAAACAGUAAGAAGUUCAGUGGUUGCCAGGAGUUAGGAGUUGGGGGUGGGACCCAUAGACUAUACAACACCAAGAAUGAACUCUGAUGUAAUCCACAAAGGACUAUUGUUAAUAAAGUUUUAAUAAUGGCUCAUCAAUUAUAACAAAUGUACUAUACUAAUGCAAGAUGUUAAUAAUAAGGGAAACGGGGG